rnacentral:rRNA from 1 species
GACAGAGGAUGCAAGCGUUAUCCGGAAUGAUUGGGCGUAAAGCGUCUGUAGGUGGCUUUUUAAGUCCGCCGUCAAAUCCCAGGGCUCAACCCUGGACAGGCGGUGGAAACUACCAAGCUGGAGUACGGUAGGGGCAGAGGGAAUUUCCGGUGUAGCGGUGAAAUGCGUGAGAUAGUCGGAAGGAACAUCAGUGGCGAAAGCGGCUUCCUGGACCAGAACUGACGAUCAGCUCGAAAGCGUGGGGAGCAAACAGG